rnacentral:rRNA from 1 species
UACGUAGGCAGCGAGCGUUGUUCGGAGUUACUGGGCGUAAAGGGUGUGUAGGCGGUUGUUUAAGUUUGGUGUGAAAUCUCCCGGCUCAACUGGGAGGGUGCGCCGAAUACUGAGGGACUAGAGUACGGGAGAGGAAAGUGGAAUUCCUGGUGUAGCGGUGAAAUGCGUAGAUAUCAGGAGGAACACCGGUGGUGUAGACGGCUUUCUGGACCGUAACUGACGCUGAAACACGAAAGCGUGGGUAGCAAACAGG